rnacentral:rRNA from 1 species
UGCGUAGGCGGGGCAAUCAGUCAGUGGUGAAAUACUGCCGCUCAACGGUAGAACUGCCAUUGAUACUGCAAGUCUUGAAUAUGGUUGAGGUAGGCGGAAUGUGUCGUGUAGCGGUGAAAUGCAUAGAUAUGACACAGAACGCCAAUUGCGAAGGCAGCUUACUAAGCCAUUAUUGACGCUGAGGCACGAAAGCGUGGGGAGCGAACAGGAUUAGAUACCCUGGUAGUCC